GCUGAAAGUUGUUUUCAAUCAUUCCCAGUCCUGGCAUCCAAGAGGCGAGAAAAAAAAGAUCUGAUCGUCUUAAAUUCAAACUGAAAGGGGAAGGGAGGAGAGACACACACACACACACACGCACAGAGAAGAAAUGUGGCUCAAAGUGAUAAGAAAGAUGGCUGUUUGGAACCAAAGAAGCUCUCCUGGCCUGAGAACUAAGAUUGAUGGCCAGACCUGACCCAUUCACAGCACCGACCAGAGCAAAGGAGAAGAGAGAGACCCAAGCCCUACCAGUGCUUUCAUCCCCUUAAAAAAAAGGACUUCGCACACUGUGACUGUCGAGGUAUUCGAAGGAACAUCAUGCUUACUGUGAAGUAAGCCACUGUGAAGCAGGAAGACGAACACACUCGGGAACUGAGUUCAGCUCAUCAACUCAGGAGUGAUCCAGAUUCAAGAAUUCAAAAUGUCUUGAGAACAUCAUCACACUCGAUCAGAGAUUUUGGUGCAUCUCACCCGGCGCAGAGAAGCAAUCAACACCCUCCUCUCAAUUCCAGAUGUGGGCCAAGUUUCCUUGUUGACAGAACAACUCCCAAGAUCUCAGAAGCUCAGGAAAGGCUUUUAAAGCCCAGUAACUAUCGUUGCCUUUACUGGAAGCAUGCUCAAGACCUAAUAGAAACCUGUCCCUUGUUCCCUAUAGUUGAACAAUUCUGGCUGAGUUAAGAGUGGGUUGGAACAGAGUGGGUUGUACAACAGUUUGGUAAUUGUCAUGACCUGACUAUUAUUACUGAACAUUCUGACUUGAGGCAGCAAGCACAAAUUACCAGGUUACGGAAAAAAUAUUCUUUAUUAGUUUAAGUCAAAAACGAGGUAGCUUAAACAUAUGAACUGCUCGAAACAAUUUACAACAGAAUUUGUGGAAGUCCACUAAUUAUAUAACGCGUAGAAUUAAUUCAGUCUCAACGAUCUCCACAAGCAGUAAGUUAUCUUCUGCAGCAGGAAGCACCCUGUUUAAACAAAAACUCUGGAGCUCAUGUUAAGUGCAAAGAGAGCCUUAAAACUCGACUGGCACCGGCCUCCUGCUCGUCCCUAUCACCCUCCGCCCCACC